UAGGGAAUCUUCCACAAAUGGACGCAAGUCUGAUGGAGCAACGCCGCGUGAGUGAAGAAGGUUUCGGCUCGUAAAGCUCUGUUGUUUAAAGAAGAACGUGGGUAAGAGUAACUGUUUACCCAGUGACGGUAUUUAACCAGAAAGCCACGGCUAACUACGUGCCAG
rnacentral:rRNA from 1 species